rnacentral:rRNA from 1 species
GUGGGGAAUUUUGGACAAUGGGCGCAAGCCUGAUCCAGCAAUGCCGCGUGCAGGAUGAAGGCCCUCGGGUUGUAAACUGCUUUUGUACGGAACGAAAAGCCUGGGGCUAAUAUCCCCGGGUCAUGACGGUACCGUAAGAAUAAGCACCGGCUAACUACGUGCCAGCAGCCGCGGUAAUACGUAGGGUGCAAGCGUUAAUCGGAAUUACUGGGCGUAAAGCGUGCGCAGGCGGUUUUGUAAGACAGUGGUGAAAUCCCCGGGCUCAACCUGGGAACUGCCAUUGUGACUGCAAAGCUAGAGUGCGGCAGAGGGGGAUGGAAUUCCGCGUGUAGCAGUGAAAUGCGUAGAUAUGCGGAGGAACACCGAUGGCGAAGGCAAUCCCCUGGGCCUGCACUGACGCUCAUGCACGAAAGCGUGGGGAGCAAACAGGAUUAGAUACCCGUGUAGUCC